UAUUCUUAGUUGCCAGCAUGUAAUGAUGGGGACUCUAAGGAGACUGCCUGCGCAAGCAGAGAGGAAGGAGGGGAUGACGUCAAAUCAUCAUGGCCCUUACGCCCAGGGCUACACACGUGCUACAAUGGCGCAUACAGAGGGUCGCGACACGGUAACGUGAAGCCAAUCUCAAAAAGUGCGUCUCAGUUCGGAUUGAGGUCUGCAACUCGACCUCAUGAAGCUGGGAUCGCUAGUAAUCGCGCAUCAGCAAUGACGCGGUGAAUACGUUC
rnacentral:rRNA from 1 species